rnacentral:ncRNA from 1 species
UGUCUCCUCUAUUCUCCUCCAAGGAAAUAGAUUUAGCCCGCUCCCUGAGCGGGCUUUUUUUU